CUUGCCAUCUUGCCUAUCCACAGCAAGCCUCAGUUCUAGGCAUAGCCUGCCAUUCCUGAUCUUGGAAGGACAUUUGAGCACGGGGUGAGAGAUGGACAUCCCUUGAAAGGGGACUACAGUUCGGGUCUUUGCACGUGGUGGAGGUUGCUAAAGUGGAAGCCAAAAUCCCUUUCCUCUUCAGAAGGUGCUUCCUUCCCCUCUGCCUUUUGCCGUGAUUGUAAGUUUCCUGAGGCCUCCCAGCCAUGCUUCCUGUACAGCCUGCAGAACUCAGUGUGAGAAGGGAUCAAUACAGGAGCCAUGGAUUUCAAGGGCCCUCCCUCACCCCUCCUUAGCCCACAUCUGCAGGGCCUCCGUGCUGCAGGCAAACAUAGGCUCCUGAAGAAGAUCACAUCAGACACAGGCGGACAGGCAGAUGGUCCAGCGGGGCAGAACAGAUGCGGCCCCCACUGAGUAUUGCAGAAGAGGAGCUGGUGCUACCAACCUGCGAGGCCCAGAGAGUGCAAAGCCAGUUCCAGGAAGACUCUGCCUCCGCUUACCGGCCCUCUUUCCCACCUUCCUCCUGCCCUACCCACACCCAGGAGGGGUCAGAAAACGGCUUGUAAAUGGGAGGGUGGGGGCUGGAAGACAGAAGGCCAAGAAGAACAAAGAAACCGGCCAUGUCCCACCCCCUGCCCCUCCCACUGCAGGUUCCAGCCCUGAGUGUGGCAUGGGGAAAAGAUGUGCCAUUGAAUCAAUUUCAGAAUUUUAAUGAACAUCUUGUCUGUGACAUAGGAGUGAGCAGAAAAGACAUGAGACCUGCCUGAGUUUUCAGCUCAUAAAGCCAGCAAAGAUUACUCCCAUGGUGCAGUUUAAAGGGGCUGUGUGAUACAAAAAUAAAGUGUUUUCAAUAGACCCAAA